AUUGAACGCUAGCGGGAUGCUUUACACAUGCAAGUCGAACGAGUGGCGGACUGGUGAGUAAUAUAUCGGAACGUGCCCAGUAGCGGGGGAUAACUACUCGAAAGAGUGGCUAAUACCGCAUACUAUUGUACCGGCCGACAUUGGAUUAGCUAGUUGGUGGAGUAAAGGCUCACCAAGGCACCGAUCCGUAGCUGGUUUGAGAGGACGACAAGCCACACUGGGACUGAGACACGGCCCAGACUCCUACGUGAGGCAGCAGUGGGGAAUUUUGGACAAUGGGUGAAACCCUAAUCCAGCCAUGCCGAGUGUAUGAGAAGGCCUUCGGGUUGUAAAGUACUUUUGGCAGAGAAGCGGUAUCUGCAGAAUAAGCACCGGCUAACUACGUGCCAGCAGCCGCGGUAAUAC
rnacentral:rRNA from 1 species